CCUACGGGAGGCAGCAGUGAGGAAUAUUGGUCAAUGGGCGAGAGCCUGAACCAGCCAAGUCGCGUGAGGGAGUACUGCCCUAUGGGUUGUAAACCUCUUUUGUCGGGGAGCAAAAGCCGGACGUGUCCGGCUGUGAGAGUACCCGAAGAAAAAGCAUCGGCUAACUCCGUGCCAGCAGCCGCGGUAAUACGGAGGAUGCGAGCGUUAUCCGGAUUUAUUGGGUUUAAAGGGUGCGCAGGCGGAUUUUUAAGUCAGCGGUAAAAGCCCGGGGCUAAACCCCGGCCCGCCGUUGAAACUGGCAGUCUAGAGUUGGAGAGAAGUAUGCGGAAUGCGCGGUGUAGCGGUGAAAUGCAUAGAUAUCGCGCAGAACUCCGAUUGCGAAGGCAGCAUGCCGGCUCCACACUGACGCUGAGGCACGAAAGCGUGGGUAUCGAACAGGAUUAGAUACCCGAGUAGUC
rnacentral:rRNA from 1 species